rnacentral:lncRNA from 1 species
UGUAAACGUAUCGAGUAAAGUUUUGUUGGAUCGUUGGCACUAACCAUUAAUCCCAAAAGUUCGAGCUGCUAAAAAUACGCAACCAAUUCACUUAAAACGUACAGAUACAGUGCCCGUAGGUCUCAAUUGUGACUCAGCCCAACCAGCCUUACGCUACUUCAAACAUGACUUGGACCACCCCAACCUCACGUCAUUUCGAAUAUGACUCGGCCCAACAAACCUCCCGCCACAAAGGCAAAAUGCUGGCACAUUUAAGCCAACAAGUUUAACUUUCAUAUAUAUCUCUGCAAAAGUUCAGUAAUAUUUAUAUUUGCCCCUCUGAUUUUUACCAAUACCGUUUAUUUGUUAACAACAGAUAAGUAAAAUGACAUUUUUGUUAUAACAAAUACGUUUUCUUAAAAGCCUCAAUUGUUAGAAUUAUGCAGAAAUCUCCUCUAAAAAAUUUUUAACGGUCAUUUUCUUCUUUUCUACUAUCACAAAUAAUACAAGAGAGGUAAAAAGUUAAAUUUACCCCAUUCACUUACCAGAGUUAAGUAUUUGGUUAAUUAUAUUUUUCUAGCGGAUCCUAAAAACGGAGGUAUAUUUGAAAAUAUUAGAACUUUUGUAAGAAUAAAUAUGAAAAGUUGAACUUUAUAAGGUUAUAUCUGCUAUUCGAUAUAUUUACAUAGAGUUAUAUGCAAUUAACCCUAUCUUUCUAAUUUAUUUCAAAAUAUAAAUAA